GCCAGGCAUGGUGGUGCAUGCCUGUAAUCCCAGCUACUCGGGAGGCUGAGGCAGAAGAAUCACUUGAACCCGGGAGGUGGAGGUUGUAGUGAGCCAAUCGUGCCACUGCACUCCAGCCUGGGCAACAGAGCGAGACUCUGUCUCAA
rnacentral:SRP_RNA from 1 species